rnacentral:rRNA from 1 species
GGGUGCGAUCAUACCAGCUCUAAUGCACCGGAUUCCAUCAGAACUCCGCACUUAAGCGUUCUUGGGCAAAAAUGGUUCUAAGAUGGGUUGUCUUAUGACUUUUAUAGAUUCAGGCU